UACAGAGGUCUCAAGCGUUGUUCGGAUUCAUUGGGCGUAAAGGGUGCGUAGGCGGCGCGGUAAGUCGGGUGUGAAAUCUCGGAGCUUAACUCCGAAACUGCAUUCGAUACUGCCGUGCUUGAGGACUGGAGAGGAGACUGGAAUUUACGGUGUAGCGGUGAAAUGCGUAGGUAUCGUAAGGAAGACCAGUGGCGAAGGCGGGUCUCUGGACAGUUCCUGACGCUGAGGCACGAAGGU
rnacentral:rRNA from 1 species